rnacentral:rRNA from 1 species
UACGUAGGGUGCAAGCGUUAAUCGGAAUUACUGGGCGUAAAGCGCGCGUAGGUGGUUUGUUAAGUUGAAUGUGAAAUCCCCGGGCUCAACCUGGGAACUGCAUCCAAAACUGGCAAGCUAGAGUAGGGCAGAGGGUGGUGGAAUUUCCUGUGUAGCGGUGAAAUGCGUAGAUAUAGGAAGGAACACCAGUGGCGAAGGCGACCACCUGGGCUCAUACUGACACUGAGGUGCGAAAGCGUGGGGAGCAAACAGG